rnacentral:tmRNA from 1 species
ACUUAUUGAAUCUUAAUAAACUAGUUUUAUAUUAAUAGAGUUGGAUUUCCAACUAUGACGAUAAACGAAUUUCGUAAUAAACAUUGCGGACGUGGGGGCAGUACCCACCACCUCCA